UACGUAGGGUGCAAGCGUUGUCCGGAAUUAUUGGGCGUAAAGGGCGCGUAGGCGGCCCGCUAAGUCGAACGUGAAAUCCCCGAGCUCAACUCGGGAACUGCGUCCGAUACUGGUGGGCUUGAAUCCGGGAGAGGGAUGCGGAAUUCCAGGUGUAGCGGUGAAAUGCGUAGAUAUCAGGAAGAACACCCGUGGCUAAGGCGGUUCUCUAGUACGGUACUGACGCUGAGACGCGAAAGCGUGGGGAGCGAACAGG
rnacentral:rRNA from 1 species